UUCUCUUGUACCGCGCCCUCAUUGCUCAACUUGUAUGCGGUGAUGAAUCUAAUGAUAAAUUCAGUGGUGUUAUAGACAGUAGACUAGAACAACCCUUCAUCGUUUUUCAGUAAUUUAUACAGUAAGAAUACGGAUUGAAUUUCUGAAGUUUUCAGUCCAAAUGCUUCAAAUUCCAGUAUCUUCUUCUUCAUCUCCAACAUUCCUCUCAUGGUGUUGGAGUUUGAACCCUCCUUCUGCUUCUUCUUCUUCAUUACCUCCUACCUACAGUUUCCCAACAAAUAGUGUCAGCAAAAGAAGAAGGAAGUACCCUUUUCGUGUGAUGAACAGUACUAAAGUUGAAGACGAUUACCAUGCAACUCUCAAAGCUUUGAAUAAAAGAGGUCGUACUCCUAGAAAAUCCCUUGGUCAGCAUUACAUGUUGAAUUCUUCAGUCAACGAUCAACUUGUUAGUGCUGCUGAUGUAAAAGAAGGGGAUGUUGUCCUUGAAAUUGGACCUGGAACUGGUUCUUUAACUAAUGUUCUUUUGAAUUCUGGUGCUACUGUUCUUGCUAUUGAAAAAGAUCCUCACAUGGUUGCACAUUUAAGAGAACGAUUUGGAGGCAUCAGUUCGUUCACGGUUCUUGAAGAGGACUUCACAAAAUGUCACUUUACUUCCCAUUUGAUGACUUUGUUGAAUACACCGGACGAAGAAAACUUCAAACACGCAAAAGUAGUUGCCAACAUACCUUUCAAUAUAAGUACUGAUGUUGUGAAGGAACUUCUUCCAAUGGGUGACAUCUUUUCAGCAGUUGUUCUCUUACUCCAGGAUGAGACAGCUUUGCGAUUAGUAGAUGCAUCAUUGCGAACAUCGGAGUACCGUCCCAUCAAUAUAUUUGUGAACUUCUUCUCUGACCCAGAAUACAAUUUUCAGGUCCUUCGAUCAAAUUUUUUCCCUGAACCCAAUGUAGAUGCAGCAGUUGCCACGUUCAAGCUAAAGCAGACAGCAGACUAUCCACCAGUUGCUUCUACUAAAAGCUUUUUCUCAAUGGUCAAUUCAGCAUUCAAUGGGAAGCGCAAGAUGCUGCGGAGAUCACUUCAACACAUAUGCCCGUCUUUGGAGAUAGAAAAUGCUCUCCAAAGCUUGAGUCUUCCAACUACAUCAAGACCAGGGGAGCUAACUCUGGACGAUUUUGUGAGUCUGCAUAAUUUAAUUGUGAAAGCUUAGAAUUUCUUGGCUGGCUUGGAGUUAUCUGGUUUGCCUGAAGCCUUUAAGUAAUAUUGCACAAGAUCCACGACAAUGUUCAAGCUAGCGAAGGAUGUUAUCAAAACGACUAACUGAAUGACUAAAGAAGCAGGUUUGCAGUCCCUUUCAAGUUUUUUUGUUUACAGUUACACAGACGGCAGCAGGUUCUGCCUGCAUAGUGCCUGACCAGGCUUAUAUCAAGCCAGGUUGGCUUCUACCAGUCCACAGUUAUAGACUCAACCAACCCAGACACCCUAAACCCCAGCUACUUCUUGUUCUAAUCAGGAGUUUGACAAAAUUGCAAGAUUUCGGGUUCAGUUGUAUAUGCUUUCAUAUGCAAAUUUACAAUGCUUAGCAGAAAGGGAACUGUGACUAAUUCUGCCAAAGAGGAUCUUUAGUUAUUGUC